GUGAUGGAAAGGCUGAGAAGGGCAGUUUGGGCAGAACAGUGAGCAGGGAGCAAUGCACAGAUGGGCACAAUAGGAUUCAAGAAGUCAGGAAAUGUGCAGCAAUGGAAGGCUUAUGGAGGACUGGCCUCCUUGACUAAGACAAAAUGCUAUAUUCUGCAAGUUUUUGCAGUUUAUUCAUUUACUGAUCCAGCUACUAUUUAUUGGAAGGUGACUCUACACUGAGUACUAGGCAGUGAGCUCCUUCCGGACCAGCCCCUGGUCUUGCUCAUCCUGUGGACACAGCACAUCUGAGAAGGGCUGUGAUUGUGCUGCUCCUAUCACACUAGCUGCUGCUGGGAUGCUUCACUGCCUCUCUGAGUUCAAGGAUGGGAGUCUCUCUAUGUUCGCCAAGGUUGGUCUUGAACUCCUGGCUUCAAGCAAUCCUCCUGCCUAGGACUUUCAAGGUACACCAUUAUUUUGUGGUCCACUAAGAAAGAAAAGGUUAUUUCCAAUUAAAUUAUAACAUACUAGCAAUUAUAAGACAAUCCCAACUUCUAAUACGUUAAAAUGAAAUAUAGACAUAUCUAUAAAUAUCUUAGAUUAGAUGAAAUAAGGUAUACCAUCUCUCAGAACAAUGGUGUCUAUCCCUGCUUUUAAGUUACUUUCCUUGUCCAAAAACAAAAAAACAAAACAGAACAAAACAAAAAACCUUUACCAAUGAUAGGCAAAAAGAAGUGUUCUUGCACAAGGACAGAGAACAAUGCCUAAGAAUGCCUGACUUUUCUGGAAAAUUACCAUAUACCAAUCUAUUUCUCUUAGAGAAAUUUCCAGUAUACACAGAUUUACCUCCUUAUAUUUUUUUUGUCCCAGAACUUCAUUUCUGGCAUAGGAAAGUAAAUCAUUCUUGUUGGGAAGAAUCAGAAAGCGGGACCUAUGAGCUGGGAAUAGGAAAGGAAGGUAAAGCACAUGGCAGAGUAGAAUAUAAUAGUUACUAGCAAUGGAACACUGGGAACCGUGUCCGUUUGACUUUUCCUUGUGAUAUCUCAUUAUUCUGUACAACUGCUCUGUGAGAACUGUGCUGCUAUUGCCCUCCUCUGAGAGAUCUGGACGUUGAGAGGUUAAGUAACUUGCCUGAGGUCAUGUAAGUGGUAAGUGGCUCAGCUGGGAUUCAAACACAAUUGACUUCUUGCUUUAGCCAGGCCUAACUCAUGUUUUAAUCCAUUCAAAUGAGUUUAAAAUUUUCUUUUAAUUGUGCUAAAGUAAACAUAACAUAAAAUGUACCAUCCUAAUCAUUUUUGAGUGUACAGUUCAGUAGUGCCAAGCCCAUUCACAUUGCUGUACAGCUAGUCUCCAGAACUCUUUUCAUCUUUCAAAAGUGAAACUCUGUCCCCAUUAAACAACCACUCCCCUUGCUCCCAGCCCCAGCCCCUGGCAGCCACCGUUCCACUUUCUGUCUUUAUGAAUUUGACUACUCCAGGUUGCUCAUAUAAGUGGAAUCGUAUAGUCUUUUGUGGCUGACUCAUAUUUAGCAUAAUGUCCUCAAGGUUCAUUCAUAUUGUAGCAUGUGUCAGAAGAGUUUUUAAUUUCAUUGACUAUUUUUCCUUGUCAGUCUAUUUGAUUAUUUUCCAGAUGUUUCUAUUUUUUUUUCCUCAUGGUGUUUUCUUUUUUAUCCUUGGUGUUUAUUCUUAAUUUCUUUAAUAUUUAAGAAUAUUCAUCAUACAGCAUGGUGACUGCAGUUAAUGUAUGUAUUGAAUUCUUAAAUUGCUAAGAGAGUAGAUUUCAAGUGUUCUUGCAAAAAAUGAUGUUUGUGAAAUAAUGCAUAUGUUAAUUAGCUCAAUUUAGCCAUUCCACAACGUAUAUAUAUUUCAAAACAACAUGUUGUAUGCAAUAAAUAUAUAAAAUUUUAUUUGUCAAUUAAAAAAUUAAAAAGGGCUGGAUAUGGUGGCUCAUGCCUGUAAUCCCAACACUUUGGGAGGCUGAGAUGGGAGGACAGUUAGCGACCAGCCUGGGCAACAUAGCAAGACCUCUGUGUUUGUCCCUUUUGUGUUUCUGUAAAGGAAUACCUGAGGCUGGGUAAUUUAUGAAGAAAAGGCCAGGUGCGGUGGCUCACACCUGUAAUCCUAGCACUAUGGGAGGCCGAGGUGGGCAAACCACUUGAGGUCAGGAGUUUGAGACCAGCCUGGCCAACAUGGUGAAACCCCAUCUUUACUAAAAGUACAAAAAUCAGCUGGGUGUGUGGAGUAUGCCUGUAAUCCCAGCUACUCAGGAGGCUGAGACAGUAGAAUCGUUUGAACCCAGGAGGCAGAGGUUGCACCACUGCACUUCAGCCUGGGUGACAGAGUGAAACUCCAUCUUCAGAAAGGAAGGGGAGCUGACAAGUCACACGGUGAGAGAGCAGGGAGACUCCAGACCCUUGAACAAGGAGAUCUCAAGUGAACUCAUUACUACAGGGAGGGCACCGAGCCAUUCGUGAGAUAUCCACUCCCAUGACUAAAUACCUCCUGCUAGGCCCCACUUCCACCACUGGGGAUUGCCUUUCAACAUGAGAUUUGGAGGGGACAAACAUCCAAACUAUAUCAAUCCUGUCUCUGACAA
rnacentral:lncRNA from 10 species